GAUAACAGACGGCAGUGACAAUACAGGAAAGCACAUUUCCUGCCAUAAUAUUAUCUGCGAAUACGUUAUAAAUUUUUGAAAAAUGCUGGGAACGUUUGUAACAAAAAGCGGCGAGUUUUGGUAGGAAUCAUCUCUUCAUUCAGAAGUCAACAAAAUGAAUAAGUCAGCAUUUCUACUCUUGCUUGUCAUCGGACUCCUCGUCCUCACCGAAACGAAGGCGGACUCCGUUCAAGUUCACCCUGGUCCUCCCGCACGUCGACGAUGGACAAGAUGGAACCAAAUGGACACAGAAACCCUUGAAGAUCUGAGUGAAAUUCUUAACUCAGAUGAAGAUUUUGAAUAAACCAACAGAUGUAAUAAAUUCAGUUCGCUGGUUUCAAUAAACUAUGAUCAAUAUA